GGAGGAUAGGAGGGCUUCUUAAAGACAAACUAACAGGUCUGUGAGAGCCAGAUUCUUGCUGGUUGAUUCUGUCUUUCACAUUUGAGGUGUACCUACGAUGAAAAUGACAGAUCUCUCCAUUCUUUUGCAAAAGAAGAGAUUUUCCCCGCAGAUGGAAAACGACAGCGUCUUUCCACUCCUGCGCUGGAACGUGUCAGGGUUUCUCCACGUCUCAUCUGGACGGGAUACAGAGGCAGCUGGCAGCUGAGUGAAAGUGGCCAUAAUGUUCCCGUUUGUAAGACGCUCACGGCUGUGUCAGCACAGGACAGCAUGAUCCUUCAAUUGUUUGGUCAAAACAACUGAAUUUAAGAACAAUAAAGUAGAUUAUGUUUGCCAUUAUUUUGGUUACACAAAACAUAUUGUUGGAUUUAGAUAA